rnacentral:rRNA from 1 species
GACGGACGCUGGCGGCGUGCUUAACACAUGCAAGUCGAACGGAAAGGCCCCAGCUUGCUGGGGUACUCGAGUGGCGAACGGGUGAGUAACACGUGGGUGAUCUGCCCUGCACUCUGGGAUAAGCCUGGGAAACUGGGUCUAAUACCGGAUAGGACCGUGCUUUAGUGUUUGCGGUGGAAAGUUUUUCGGUUCAGGAUGAGCCCGCGGCCUAUGAGCUUGUUGGUGGGGUAAUGGCCUACCAAGGCGGCGACGGGUAGCCGGCCUGGGAGGGUGUACGGCCACAUAGGGACUGGGAAACGGCCAGGACUCCAACGGGAGGAAGCGGUGGGAAAUAUUCCACAAUGGGCGCAGGCCGGGAGCAACGACGCCGCGUGGGGGAUGACGGCCUUCGGGUUGUAACCCCUUUCGGCAGGGACGAAGCUUUUGUGACGGUACCUGCAUAAGAAGCACCGGCUAACUACGUG